rnacentral:rRNA from 1 species
UAUACGGAGGGUGCAAGCGUUACUCGGAAUCACUGGGCGUAAAGGGCGCGUAGGCGGAUUAUCAAGUCUCUUGUGAAAUCUAAUGGCUUAACCAUUAAACUGCUUGGGAAACUGAUAGUCUAGAGUGAGGGAGAGGCAGAUGGAAUUGGUGGUGUAGGGGUAAAAUCCGUAGAUAUCACCAAGAAUACCCAUUGCGAAGGCGAUCUGCUGGAACUCAACUGACGCUAAGGCGCGAAAGCGUGGGGAGCAAACAGGAUUAGAUACCCUGGUAGUCCACGCCCUAAACGAUGUACACUAGUUGUUGGGAUGCUAGUCAUCUCAGUAAUGCAGCUAACGCAUUAAGUGUACCGCCUGGGGAGUACGGUCGCAAGAUUAAAACUCAAAGGAAUAGACGGGGACCCGCACAAGCGGUGGAGCAUGUGGUUUAAUUCGAAGAUACGCGAAGAACCUUACCUGGGCUUGAUAUCCUAAGAACCUUUUAGAGAUAAGAGGGUGCUAGCUUGCUAGAACUUAGAGACAGGUGCUGCACGGCUGUCGUCAGCUCGUGUCGUGAGAUGUUGGGUUAAGUCCCGCAACGAGCGCAACCCACGUAUUUAGUUGCUAACGGUUCGGCCGAGCACUCUAAAUAGACUGCCUUCGUAAGGAGGAGGAAGGUGUGGACGACGUCAAGUCAUCAUGGCCCUUAUGCCCAGGGCGACACACGUGCUACAAUGGCAUAUACAAUGAGACGCAAUACCGCGAGGUGGAGCAAAUCUAUAAAAUAUGUCCCAGUUCGGAUUGUUCUCUGCAACUCGAGAGC